rnacentral:rRNA from 1 species
AGUGAACGCUGGCGGUAGGCCUAACACAUGCAAGUCGAACGGCAGCACAGUAAGAGCUUGCUCUUACGGGUGGCGAGUGGCGGACGGGUGAGGAAUACAUCGGAAUCUACUUUUUCGUGGGGGAUAACGUAGGGAAACUUACGCUAAUACCGCAUACGACCUACGGGUGAAAGCAGGGGAUCUUCGGACCUUGCGCGAUUGAAUGAGCCGAUGUCGGAUUAGCUAGUUGGCGGGGUAAAGGCCCACCAAGGCGACGAUCCGUAGCUGGUCUGAGAGGAUGAUCAGCCACACUGGAACUGAGACACGGUCCAGACUCCUACGGGAGGCAGCAGUGGGGAAUAUUGGACAAUGGGCGCAAGCCUGAUCCAGCCAUACCGCGUGGGUGAAGAAGGCCUUCGGGUUGUAAAGCCCUUUUGUUGGGAAAGAAAAGCAGCAGGUUAAUAUCCCGCUGCUCUGACGGUACCCAAAGAAUAAGCACCGGCUAACUUCGUG